AACGAACGCUGGCGGCAGGCUUAACACAUGCAAGUCGAACGGGCCCUUCGGGGUCAGUGGCAGACGGGUGAGUAACGCGUGGGAACGUGCCCUUCAGUUCGGGAUAACCCAGGGAAACUUGGGCUAAUACCGGAUACGUGCGAGAGCAGAAAGAUUUAUCGCUGAAGGAUCGGUCCGCGUCUGAUUAGCUGGUUGGUGGGGUAAUGGCCCACCAAGGCGACGAUCAGUAGCUGGGCUGAGAAGAUGAACAGCCACAUUGGGACUGAGAAACGGCCCAAACUCCUACGGGAGGCAGCAGUGGGGAAUAUUGGACAAUGGGCGCAAGCCUGAUCCAGCCAUGCCGCGUGAGUGAUGAAGGCCUUAGGGUUGUAAAGCUCUUUCGCCGGUGAAGAUAAUGACGGUACCCACAGAAGAAGCCCCGGCUAACUCCGUGCCAGCAGCCGCCGUAAAAC
rnacentral:rRNA from 1 species